rnacentral:rRNA from 1 species
UACGGAGGGUGCGAGCGUUGUCCGGAAUCAUUGGGCGGAAAGGGCGCGUAGGUGGCCCGGUCAGUUCGUGGUGAAAGCGCGGGGCUCAACCUCGGGUCGGCCGUGCGAACUGGGUCACUGGAGCAGAAUAGAGGCAGGUGGAAUUCCGGGUGUAGCGGUGGAAUGCGUAGAGAUCCGGAAGAACACCGGUGGCGAAGGCGGCCUGCUGGGUUCUGGCUGACACUGAGGCGCGACAGCGUGGGGAGCAAACAGG